rnacentral:rRNA from 1 species
UACGGGGGGGGCAAGCGUUGCUCGGAAUCACUGGGCGUAAAGCGCACGUAGGCGGCUUUUUAAGUCAGGGGUGAAAUCCUGGAGCUCAACUCCAGAACUGCCUUUGAUACUGAGAAGCUCGAGUCCGGGAGAGGUGAGUGGAACUGCGAGUGUAGAGGUGAAAUUCGUAGAUAUUCGCAAGAACACCAGUGGCGAAGGCGGCUCACUGGCCCGGUACUGACGCUGAGGUGCGAAAGCGUGGGGAGCAAACAGG